rnacentral:rRNA from 1 species
UAGCGGGGGGGCAAGCGUUGUUCGGAAUUACUGGGCGUAAAGGGUUCGUAGGUGGCCAAUUAAGUCAGACGUGAAAUCCCUCAGCUUAACUGGGGACUGCGUCUGAGACUGGAUGGCUUGAGUGCAGGAGAGGAACGCGGAAUUCCAGGUGUAGCGGUGAAAUGCGUAGAUAUCUGGAGGAACGACCGGUGGCGAAGGCGGCGUUCUGGACUGCAACUGACACUGGAGGAACGAAAGCCCAGGGAGCAAACGGG